rnacentral:misc_RNA from 1 species
GAUGAAGAACGCAGUGAAAUGCGAUAACUAAUGUGAAUUGCAGAAUUCCGUGAAUCAUCGAGUCUUUGAACGCACAUUGCGCCCCCUGGUAUUCCGGGGGGCAUGCCUGUCCGAGCGUCAUUGCUGCCCUCAAGCACGGCUUGUGUGUUGGGCCUCCGUCCUCCUCCCGGGGGACGGGCCCGAAAGGCAGCGGCGGCACCGCGUCCGGUCCUCGAGCGUAUGGGGCUUCGUCACCCGCUCUUGUAGGCCCGGCCGGCGCUUGCCGACACAUCAAUCUUUUUUCCAGGUUGACCUCGGAUCAGGUAGGGAUACCCGCUGAACUUAAGCAUAUCAAUAAGCGGAGGA